rnacentral:rRNA from 1 species
UUAAGCGACUAAGCGUACACGGUGGAUGCCCUGGCAGUCAGAGGCGAUGAAGGACGUGCUAAUCUGCGAUAAGCGUCGGUAAGGUGAUAUGAACCGUUAUAACCGGCGAUUUCCGAAUGGGGAAACCCAGUGUGAUUCGUCACACUAUCAUUAACUGAAUCCAUAGGUUAAUGAGGCGAACCGGGGGAACUGAAACAUCUAAGUACCCCGAGGAAAAGAAAUCAACCGAGAUUCCCCCAGUAGCGGCGAGCGAACGGGGAGCAGCCCAGAGCCUGAAUCAGUGUGUGUGUUAGUGGAAGCGUCUGGAAAGGCGUGCGAUACAGGGUGACAGCCCCGUACACAAAAAUGCACAUAUUGUGAGCUCGAUGAGUAGGGCGGGACACGUGGUAUCCUGUCUGAAUAUGGGGGGACCAUCCUCCAAGGCUAAAUACUCCUGACUGACCGAUAGUGAACCAGUACCGUGAGGGAAAGGCGAAAAGAACCCCGGCGAGGGGAGUGAAAAAGAACCUGAAACCGUGUACGUACAAGCAGUGGGAGCACGCUUAGGCGUGUGACUGCGUACCUUUUGUAUAAUGGGUCAGCGACUUAUAUUCUGUAGCAAGGUUAACCGAAUAGGGGAGCCGAAGGGAAACCGAGUCUUAACUGGGCGUUAAGUUGCAGGGUAUAGACCCGAAACCCGGUGAUCUAGCCAUGGGCAGGUUGAAGGUUGGGUAACACUAACUGGAGGACCGAACCGACUAAUGUUGAAAAAUUAGCGGAUGACUUGUGGCUGGGGGUGAAAGGCCAAUCAAACCGGGAGAUAGCUGGUUCUCCCCGAAAGCUAUUUAGGUAGCGCCUCGUGAAUUCAUCUCCGGGGGUAGAGCACUGUUUCGGCAAGGGGGUCAUCCCGACUUACCAACCCGAUGCAAACUGCGAAUACCGGAGAAUGUUAUCACGGGAGACACACGGCGGGUGCUAACGUCCGUCGUGAAGAGGGAAACAACCCAGACCGCCAGCUAAGGUCCCAAAGUCAUGGUUAAGUGGGAAACGAUGUGGGAAGGCCCAGACAGCCAGGAUGUUGGCUUAGAAGCAGCCAUCAUUUAAAGAAAGCGUAAUAGCUCACUGGUCGAGUCGGCCUGCGCGGAAGAUGUAACGGGGCUAAACCAUGCACCGAAGCUGCGGCAGCGACGCUGAUGCGUUGUUGGGUAGGGGAGCGUUCUGUAAGCCUGCGAAGGUGUGCUGUGAGGCAUGCUGGAGGUAUCAGAAGUGCGAAUGCUGACAUAAGUAACGAUAAAGCGGGUGAAAAGCCCGCUCGCCGGAAGACCAAGGGUUCCUGUCCAACGUUAAUCGGGGCAGGGUGAGUCGACCCCUAAGGCGAGGCCGAAAGGCGUAGUCGAUGGGAAACAGGUUAAUAUUCCUGUACUUGGUGUUACUGCGAAGGGGGGACGGAGAAGGCUAUGUUGGCCGGGCGACGGUUGUCCCGGUUUAAGCGUGUAGGCUGGUUUUCCAGGCAAAUCCGGAAAAUCAAGGCUGAGGCGUGAUGACGAGGCACUACGGUGCUGAAGCAACAAAUGCCCUGCUUCCAGGAAAAGCCUCUAAGCAUCAGGUAACAUCAAAUCGUACCCCAAACCGACACAGGUGGUCAGGUAGAGAAUACCAAGGCGCUUGAGAGAACUCGGGUGAAGGAACUAGGCAAAAUGGUGCCGUAACUUCGGGAGAAGGCACGCUGAUAUGUAGGUGAAGCGACUUGCUCGUGGAGCUGAAAUCAGUCGAAGAUACCAGCUGGCUGCAACUGUUUAUUAAAAACACAGCACUGUGCAAACACGAAAGUGGACGUAUACGGUGUGACGCCUGCCCGGUGCCGGAAGGUUAAUUGAUGGGGUCAGCGCAAGCGAAGCUCUUGAUCGAAGCCCCGGUAAACGGCGGCCGUAACUAUAACGGUCCUAAGGUAGCGAAAUUCCUUGUCGGGUAAGUUCCGACCUGCACGAAUGGCGUAAUGAUGGCCAGGCUGUCUCCACCCGAGACUCAGUGAAAUUGAACUCGCUGUGAAGAUGCAGUGUACCCGCGGCAAGACGGAAAGACCCCGUGAACCUUUACUAUAGCUUGACACUGAACAUUGAGCCUUGAUGUGUAGGAUAGGUGGGAGGCUUUGAAGUGUGGACGCCAGUCUGCAUGGAGCCGACCUUGAAAUACCACCCUUUAAUGUUUGAUGUUCUAACGUGGACCCGUGAUCCGGGUUGCGGACAGUGUCUGGUGGGUAGUUUGACUGGGGCGGUCUCCUCCUAAAGAGUAACGGAGGAGCACGAAGGUUGGCUAAUCCUGGUCGGACAUCAGGAGGUUAGUGCAAUGGCAUAAGCCAGCUUGACUGCGAGCGUGACGGCGCGAGCAGGUGCGAAAGCAGGUCAUAGUGAUCCGGUGGUUCUGAAUGGAAGGGCCAUCGCUCAACGGAUAAAAGGUACUCCGGGGAUAACAGGCUGAUACCGCCCAAGAGUUCAUAUCGACGGCGGUGUUUGGCACCUCGAUGUCGGCUCAUCACAUCCUGGGGCUGAAGUAGGUCCCAAGGGUAUGGCUGUUCGCCAUUUAAAGUGGUACGCGAGCUGGGUUUAGAACGUCGUGAGACAGUUCGGUCCCUAUCUGCCGUGGGCGCUGGAGAACUGAGGGGGGCUGCUCCUAGUACGAGAGGACCGGAGUGGACGCAUCACUGGUGUUCGGGUUGUCAUGCCAAUGGCACUGCCCGGUAGCUAAAUGCGGAAGAGAUAAGUGCUGAAAGCAUCUAAGCACGAAACUUGCCCCGAGAUGAGUUCUCCCUGACUCCUUGAGAGUCCUGAAGGAACGUUGAAGACGACGACGUUGAUAGGCCGGGUGUGUAAGCGCAGCGAUGCGUUGAGCUAACCGGUACUAAUGAACCGUGAGGCUUAACCUU